GGGGCCAAUAAGAGAAUAAAAGCAGCCUGCCCGAGCCAGCAGUGGCAACCCGCUCGGGUCCCCUUCCACAGUGUGGGAACUUUGUUCUUUCGCUCUUUGCAAUAAUUCCUGCUGCUGCUCACGCUUUGGGUCCACACUGCGUUUAUGAGCUGUAACACCGCGAAGGUCUGCAGCUUUACUCCUGCCUGAGCCAGCUAGACCACGAACCCGCCAGAAGGAAGAAACUCCGAACACAUCCGAACAUCAGAAGGAACAAACUCCAGACGCGCCACCUUAAGAGCUGUAACACUCACCGCGAGGGGUCGCAGCUUCAUUCUUGAAGGCAACCACUGUCAGAAAGGAUUUUUUAAAAUUCAAUUUUGAUUUUGCUGGAAUCCCGUAAAGGCUUUCGUUUUGAUUUCAAGUUUAAUUUCAGAUAGACUCUCCUGUAAUUCAGUCCACGUUAAGGAACAUGGACUUAGAGGACAUCACACUUGAAAAAAAGUAACUAUAUUCAAGAAGAAAUUACUUUUACUCUUGGAGGAAAAGCAACUCACCAAUAGCUUCAGUUUGCUGUUAGAGAUUGAAGAUUACGUGAAGUUCAGAACACAGGUGUAUUACAUUUUGGCUGUCUUCCUGACUAGCAUGCUCAUACUCUUGAGUACCCACUGUUCUCCUACAGAGAGUUUAUGAAAACAGGUAAGCUUGAUAUUUAACUAAUGUUUAUAAAUUGCUUGAUUUGCAGAAAAGCAGACUACUGUUUAUUACAUAAAACCUACAUACAUAUAUGUAUAAGACCCUGAUAAUAGAGCUAACAUGGUUUAUGAUUAUAAAUCAGUCUGGAGGGGUUGAUAGCAUUGAUGGUCUGUUUAAGAUAUAAAGUAACCAAGUGAAAAAUUAAAAUUGAAUCUACUGUUGUGGAAUUUCAUCUCAAAUCGUAUUAUUUGUUCUUCCUGAAUAUCCGUCUCCCUUCUGCUCUGCCUAACCAAAUUUCCAUUUUAGUUUUCAUCUGUCAGAAUGGCAAACAGUUUUUAGAAGUUAUGGUUUAAAAAAUCUCAAAGAACUUGGCAUUUUCAAAUGUUGCUAAUGGAAGUUCAAAUAGGUUCAAUAUUUGGGGGCGAGGGACAGAAUAGCAAGAAUUAUCAAAUUUUUAAAUAAAUUUAUGUUUUAUUUCUAAGACUUUAAGAAAACAAUCAUGGAGCUAUAUGAAGAUUUAUCAAGAAUGGUCAUAACCUAAUUUAAAAGAGUCAAACACAAAUAGAAAGAGGGAACUGCUUUAAAGAAUUAUGGUCCAUCUAUGUACAAAGAAAUACCAAGAAGUUAAUUUUUAGGAUGCAUAAAAAAGACUAUCCAAUGACCUUAAUAUAUUGUCUUUUAGGAAAUUAAAAAGUCAGUAAGCAUAUGAACUGAUUGCUGCCUACAUCUUAAAAUUUCUAAACAAACUUCAUAAAAAAUACCAGAGUAUAUUCAACUAUUCACAGAGCUAGUAUUUAAAGCAUGCAACUAUGGAUGAUUUUCUUUCCUUCUUUGUCCUUUGUAUAUACUCUCCACCGUUUUUAAUGAGUAGGCUUCUUUGAUAAUCAUAAUUAAAAAUAAUUUUAAGCAGCUUUGAAACACUAACAUUAAAACAUUUCUUCCAUCUGAUUUCUAUUUUCCUUCUUUCCUUUCUUGGCAAAUUUGCCCUGAAAAGAAAACCCAGUUUUAUAAUCCUAUCCUUUGUAUCUCUAAUAACUUCUCUUCAGAUAUUGGGAAUGUACUCACCUCAAGUCUUUCACUUUUACUUUAGUUGUUGUGUUUUUAUUUGCUAAAUUUGUAUUAUUAUGAUAUCCAUUUAUCAUUCAUUAAAUAAACAUCUACUUGAGCACCUAGAGUGUGGCAUGUGCUGUUCUUCAUUCCAGAUCUGUCAUCACAGCUUUGUUUUCUUUUCUGUAUUUGCCGAAUGAAUCAUCUACUCUUAUCUAUCCAUUUAUUCAACAAAUAUUUUUAAUAACACAUACUUUGUGCUGUGCUCCAUUCUAAGUUCUAGGGACACAGAAGCAGGUGAACUAGUGCAAACCUUGUUCUCAUGAAACUCACAUUGUAACAG